CGGGUGAGUAACGCGUGGGAAACCUGCCCUUCAGCGGGGGAUAACAGGCCUAACGGCCUGCUAAUACCGCAUACGUCCCUUGGAUCGCAUGGUCCGAGGAAGAAAGGUGGCCUCUCUUUAGAAGCUGCUACUGAAGGAUGGUCCCGCGUCCCAUUAGCUUGUUGGUGGGGUAAUGGCCUACCAAGGCGACGAUGGGUAGCCGGCCUGAGAGGGUGUCCGGCCACACUGGGACUGAGAUACGGCCCAG
rnacentral:rRNA from 1 species